CAUUAACACGUAUCCACGUAUCAACCCCUCUGUGAAAACGCAAAAGCAGCAAGGUCUGGUCUUAGUGCGUCUGUCCGCUAUGGGUCCUAAUAAUGGGUGACUCUCGGGUCACAGGGCUCGGACGGCGUGUGUUUGACGAUCAACCGACACUUUACCAUUGUUGGCCUUUACCCCAUUUUUAACCCCUUUGUACUCUUUUGUACUGAACCAUUCUUCGAUGCUCUCCCUCAAAAGAGAGUGACGAAUGAUAUUACGAAACUUAAGAACAACUCUUAGCAACGGAUAUCUUGGUUCCCGCAACGAUGAAGAACGCAGCGAAAUGCGAUACGUAAUGCGAAUUGCAGAAUUCAGUGAAUCAUCAAAUCUUUGAACGCAAAUUGCGCUCUCGGGUAUCCCCGGGAGUACGCUUCUUUCAGUAUCGGUUCUAUCAAAACUCGCCUGCGUUUUGACUUGUCAGAACACGGAGCGGAAAUUGAGUGUCACACUUUUCGAGAGUGUGUUACUUGAAAGGUAGAAACGGUGUUGUUCCGUCGUUCUCUCGAACGAGCUCGCUUUUGGUCUUCCUCUCGCUUGCGAGAGGCUGGAGCAAUCUGAGUGACGUGGUUAAGUUCGCCUCUGUGCGACACCACCAUCGUCAACUAACUCGGUUUUGCACUGGUGUGGCCUUCCUGAGUAAUGGAGCAAAACUUGAUCCGUUCUUUGGAUUAAAACCCAAUUUACAAAAUCAG
rnacentral:rRNA from 1 species